rnacentral:rRNA from 1 species
AUUGAACGCUGGCGGCAUGCUUUACACAUGCAAGUCGAACGGUGACAGGCCUUCGGGUGCUGACGAGUGGCGAACGGGUGAGUAAUGCAUCGGAACGUACCCAGAGGUGGGGGAUAACGCAGCGAAAGCUGUGCUAAUACCGCAUGUGAUCUGAGGAUGAAAGCGGGGGACCGAGCAGCAAUGUUUGGCCUCGCGCCUUUGGAGCGGCCGAUGUCGGAUUAGCUAGUUGGUGGGGUAAAGGCCUACCAAGGCGACGAUCCGUAGCUGGUCUGAGAGGACGACCAGCCACACUGGGACUGAGACACGGCCCAGACUCCUACGGGAGGCAGCAGUGGGGAAUUUUGGACAAUGGGCGCAAGCCUGAUCCAGCAAUGCCGCGUGCGGGAAGAAGGCCUUCGGGUUGUAAACCGCUUUUGGCAGGAACGAAACGGUGUCCGCUAAUACCGGGCGAUAAUGACGGUACCUGCAGAAUAAGCACCGGCUAACUACGUG